AUGGAGACCAUCUUUGCAAUGGAGUUGCAUGGAGUUUGCAAGAGCGGGGCAAGAUGUGAUCAAGGCGCAGAGGAUGUUCGUCCGGCACCAGGAUAUUCAAACCCCAAAUUACAGAUCUACAGAAUGAUUUGCUUGGUUUUACUGGCUAAGGCAAAAGUCUUAACAGAAACAGAGCUCCAAAGACAACAAGAGAAAAGCUUAGAAGGAAGGCAGAUCCUGAGUCCGGUCCUACCUGGGUUUGCACGGUUGCACUCCUGCCACCAGGAUUGUCAGUCGUGGUGCCGUUUCCUUUCAGCACAGGGCAUGUCCUCCUCCCCACUACACAGUGCACAGUGGCCCUUGUCACCUUGAUGGUGAGGAAGAGUGAGAGGAAAGUCACAUGCUCCAAGCAGAGUGAUGAGUGUCCUCUGGGGGAUUGUUUGGCAGCCAGUGGGGAAGAGAGAGUUCUUCAAUUUCCAUAUUGUAAGGACCUUGGGCUCUAGUGUAGGUGUUUUCAACCCGGGCCUCACGACAAAGCCACCAUGGAGGAACGCAGAGCAGGGACACUGAAAAAGAAAGUAAAGCUAAAAUUGAAGUCAAAACUCCACCUGAGCUUCCGAAUCCAGCUAUGCUUGGUUGUGGUCCAACCCUGGGAUCCCUGGUUCGGGGAACCAGCAUGACCUCUCUUGUGAGUUAAUUUUGGUCAUUUGCAGUGGGUGAGUUCCAAUAAGACUGCCUAACAUUUGGAACAGUUUUCAGGAUUAUAGGAAUAACACGGGAAGCUCAAAAAUGGCAAAUCCUUUCAUUACAACUUUAGAUAAAUGAAGAAAGCCUAACGACUUGAACUGAUCUUGAUAUUUUUUUCUGAUAUUUUGCUGACCCUAAACCCCAAGGCCUCAUGAAAUAGGUAUAUUUGAGCAGUUUACUCAAAUAUUGAGGUUAUCUUUUAAUUUCCACAUUUAAAUACAUUUAGUAGACUUUAGGAAUAUUGUGAUGUUUAAUUUUCUAUUCAUAUGUUAUUAUACUAAUAAAAAUGAUUUCUCUUAAAUGGAAAUGGGAGAGUUGUGAAAUUAAUAAUAUCUGCAAUGAUGUUCCCAUUUAUCAUACUGUUAAUCCUCUUUAAUGAGGAACAGAAAUAAAUACUAUUUAU
rnacentral:lncRNA from 1 species